CCUACGGGGGGCAGCAGUGAGGAAUAUUGGUCAAUGGCCGGAAGGCUGAACCAGCCAAGCCGCGUGAAGGACGAAGGUGCCAAGCAUUGUAAACUUCUUUUGUCAAGGGACAAAAUCAGGCUCGAGAGCCUGACCGAGGGUACUUGAAGAAAAAGCAUCGGCUAACUCCGUGCCAGCAGCCGCGGUAAUACGGAGGAUGCGAGCGUUAUCCGGAUUUAUUGGGUUUAAAGGGUGCGUAGGCGGACUGUUAAGUCAGCGGUAAAAGCCCGGGGCUCAACCCCGGCGAGCCGUUGAAACUGGCUGUCUUGAGUUCACAACAGGCAGGCGGAAUUCGUGGUGUAGCGGUGAAAUGCAUAGAUAUCACGAGGAACCCCGAUUGCGAAGGCAGCCUGCCGGGGUGCGACUGACGCUGAGGCUCGAAGGUGCGGGUAUCAAACAGGAUUAGAUACCCCGGUAGUC
rnacentral:rRNA from 1 species